UACCAGCUCUCCGAGUGGUAGGGAUGAUUAUUGGGCUUAAAGCGUCCGUAGCCGGCUUAGCAAGUUUCCUGUUAAAUUCAGCGACCUAAUCGUUGAGCCGCGGGAAAUACUACUAGGCUAGGAGGCGGGAGAGGUCGACGGUACUUCUGGGGUAGGGGUGAAAUCCUAUAAUCCCGGGAGGACCACCAGUGGCGAAGGCUGUCGACUAGAACGCGCUCGACGGUGAGGGACGAAAGCUGGGGGAGCGAACCGGAUUAGAUACCCGGGUAGUCCCAGCUGUAAACGAUGCGGGCUAGGUGUUGGGGUGGCUACGUGCCACUUCAGUGCCGCAGGGAAGCCAUUAAGCCCGCCGCCUGGGGAGUACGGCCGCAAGGCUGAAACUUAAAGGAAUUGGGCGGGGAGCACCACAAGGCGUGAAGCUUGCGGUUC
rnacentral:rRNA from 1 species